GAGGCGAACCGGGGGAACUGAAACAUCUAAGUACCCCGAGGAAAAGAAAUCAACCGAGAUUCCCCCAGUAGCGGCGAGCGAACGGGGAGGAGCCCAGAGCCUGAAUCAGCAUGUGUGUUAGUGGAAGCGUCUGGAAAGGCGCGCGAUACAGGGUGAGAGCCCCGUACACAAAAGCGCAUGUGCUGUGAGCUCGAUGAGUAGGGCGGGACACGUGGUAUCCUGUCUGAAUAUGGGGGGACCAUCCUCCAAGGCUAAAUACUCCUGACUGACCGAUAGUGAACCAGUACCGUGAGGGAAAGGCGAAAAGAACCCCGGCGAGGGGAGUGAAACAGAACCUGAAACCGUGUACGUACAAGCAGUGGGAGCCCCACCACUAAGCCAGUGGUGAACUCCACAUACGCAUCCUUUGCUGAGGAUACGGUUAACGGAGCGAAAGCGACGUUGAACCGCAAAAGAAGCAGAGGGGGCUUAGUGGUGGGGUGACUGCGUACCUUUUGUAUAAUGGGUCAGCGACUUAUAUUCUGUAGCAAGGUUAACCGCAUAGGGGAGCCGGAGGGAAACCGAGUCUUAAUUGGGCGUUAAGUUGCAGGGUAUAGACCCGAAACCCGGUGAUCUAGCCAUGGGCAGGUUGAAGGUUGGGUAACACUAACUGGAGGACCGAACCGACUAAUGUUGAAAAAUUAGCGGAUGACCUGUGGCUGGGGGUGAAAGGCCAAUCAAACCGGGAGAUAGCUGGUUCUCCCCGAAAGCUAUUUAGGUAGCGCCUCGUGAAUUCAUCUCCGGGGGUAGAGCACUGUUUCGGCCAGGGGGCCAUCCCGGCUUACCAAUCCGAUGCAAACUGCGAAUACCGGAGAAUGUUAUCACGGGAGACACACGGCGGGUGCUAACGUCCGUCGUGAAGAGGGAAACAACCCAGACCGCCAGCUAAGGUCCCAAAGUCAUGGUUAAGUGGGAAACGAUGUGGGAAGGCCCAGACAGCCAGGAUGUUGGCUUAGAAGCAGCCAUCAUUUAAAGAAAGCGUAAUAGCUCACUGGUCGAGUCGGCCUGCGCGGAAGAUGUAACGGGGCUAAACCAU
rnacentral:rRNA from 1 species